CGGAAUUGAACUGAGCUGGGCACUGGAUACAGUGCUCUGCAUCUAGGGAAAAAGCAAAGACUCAGCAUUUCAUUUUCAGAAAUUCUCCAUAUUUGGCCUUUUUUUUUUUUUUUUUUAAACAUGGUCACUUUUCCUCUCAUUAUGCAUACAAACUGCCCCUGAUGUCAUACUUAGGUACAAGAUUAAGAGUCUACAUUCAUAACCUAGGAAGAACGCUUUCAGUUACAGUGUCUUCUUCAUCCUAAGAUUUGUCCUGCCAUGAAAGUGAAAGAAAGUGAAGUCGCUCAGUGGUGUCCGACUCUUUGCGACCCCAUGGACUGUAGCCUAUCAGGCUCCUCCGUCCAUGGGAUUUUCCAGGCAAGAGUGCUGGAGUGGGGUGCCAUUUCCUUCUCCAGGGGAUCUUCCUGACCCAGGAGUCGAACCCUGGUCUCCUGCAUUGCAGGCAGAUGCCUUACCGUCUGAGCCACCAUGGCUUCUGCAAUUUUCCUGGUGAAGUCAAAGCCAAAGCUUUCCUUAUUCACACAUAUACUGAGAAGGAACGUUCACCUAGCCCUCCCGGGGCAUCCUCUUUUGUCAUUACCCUGAUUCCUAUGGGCUGCUUUUUGUAUAUAACGUGAUAUCUGGUAGAACAAAUGUUUCCACAUUCUACUCUUUCAUUUUUCUAUGACCAGUCUUGUACAAUUUUUCUAUACAAAAUUUGAAAAUAAUUUGAUUGAAUAGAAA